CACGUAGGGGACGAGCGUUGUCCGGAUUCAUUGGGCGUAAAGCGCGCGUAGGCGGUUUGUUGCGUCGGCCGUGAAAACCUGCAGCUUAACUGUGGCGUGCGGUCGAUACGGGCAUCACUGGAGUUCGGCAGGGGAGACUGGAAUUCCGUGGUGUAGCGGUGAAAUGCGCAGAUAUCAGGAGGAACACCGGUGGCGAAGGCAGGUCUCUGGGCAGUAACUGACGCUGAGGAGCGAAACGCGUGGGGAGCGAACAGG
rnacentral:rRNA from 1 species